UAAAAGUCCCAUGUAGGCGUCGUAUACCAGGCAUUUACAGAUCCUCAGUAAGCAAUAUAUACCAGUACAACAGGUUUAUUGUUAAGAUAGAGGUAAGCAUGUAAAAGUAUAUCUUUGUUAGUCUUAAGUAAAUGUAUCUAUAAGAAGUUUAUGGUCUGUAGGUUAGCAUUAUAUAUACGUGAUUAUUGAUCAGAGGUAUAUAUUGGAGAAUAUCAGUUCCUAGGUAUAAUUUAUAUAAGAAGUUUAUGGUGCCUAGGUUCAUGUUAGAGAGAAUGACUUUAUAGGUUGAAGAUAUGCAUGAUGUAUUAGGGUUACAAGUUCCUAGGUAAAGGUUAUAUAUAAGGUUAUACUGCCUAGGUUAGUGUUAUAUAUUUGGAUUUAUAGGUCCAAGGUAUGCAUGAUAUAUUAGAGGUUAUAAGUUCCUAGGUAAAGGUUAUAUAUAAGGUUAUAGUGCCUAGGUUAGUGUUAUAUAUUUGGAUUUAUAGGUCCAAGGUAUGCAUGAUAUAUUAGAGGUUAUGAGUUCCUAGGUAAAGGUUAUAUAUAAGGUUAUACUGCCUAGGUUAGUGUUAUAUAUUUGGAUUUAUUGGUCCAAGGUAUGCAUGAUAUAUUAGAGGUUAUAAGUUCUUAGUUGAGUGUCAUACAAUAUAAGUUUAUAGUUCCUAGGUUAGCAUUAUAAAGUAGGACUUUAUAGGGUGAAGGUAUGCAUGAUAAGUUAGAGGUUUUAAGAAUCUAGGUAAAUGUUAAUUAUAUAAAUUCCUAGAUAAACUAAAUAUUUUAGUGCAUGCAGAUUUUGUAGCAUGGGAAGGUUUUCCAAAGGAGCAUUGUUUAUCUAUCUUAGUAUCUAGUCAAGAUGGAGUUGUAAGAUUAUUCGGUGAAAAAUGUAGAUAUUUUGUCAGUAUUCAAAGUCAUUAUCUUGAUUGCAUCAUGAGUUGUGUACCAUUUUAGCUCAAAUUUUAACUUUUCAGUAUUUGUGACAUUUUCAACUAGUUACAUAUUAAUGCUUUAGAGUCAUGCAUGGAUAAUCAUAUUUAAUGAGCCCAUUUUGUUUUGUUGUAUUUAUUUGAUGGAUUGGUUGUUGUACCUUGACAUAUAAUGAUAUAUUCACAGGAUAUAACACAGCCAUGUUAUACAGGGCUAUAUACCAGUAGCACACUGUCUGUCAGAGUAAAAUUCCAGUGUGUUUAUGACAAGGAUGUUAAGGCUGUUGUUGGAACAGUCAUCAACCUUGUCUAAGACCUGUCACAGACCCACUUGUGUGUAUUUUUAUCUGAACAUUUUAUGGUAAAACAUCAAUUUGGUUUAAAAACUGAUCUAAUUUAAAAUUGAGAAGAUGUUCCAGUGAAGAGCUAAGAGCAUUGGCUGGAGAAUGGAAGGUCUCUGUUCAAUGGCCAAUCCAUUUCUAUGGUGAAAGUGUUUGGAUAUAGCACUAAUAACCAACAGGAAAUUGUAUUGUUUUAAAAAGGGCAUUUUGAAAAUAUAUAUUUUUGUUACUCUCACCUAUAUGUAGAUUGUAAGACUAUGUGACUAAUGAGGUCAUAAUCAGUGACACUGUAGUUCAGAUAUUAGUUUCUUGUCUCAGCAACCAUCUACACCAUGUCAAGCAGCUUCUGCCUUUCAAGCAUCCGACACCAUCAAUGCUUGUAGCACAUCAUUCCCCCUGGAUUAUUUCAUUGGGGUCCUGAUCCACAAAGUGUUUGCAACGUUACGACCUGUCGUAACUUUGUAGUUUAUCAUUGGUUUACGAAUGUCGUAGCGAUAUGAACGUUUUGUGGAUCAGGGCCAAGGAGUCGAAUAAUAUAGUUAUAACACUGUUUCCUAGCUAGCUAGUUACAUAAAGUUCUUUGAUUUAAAAGUUGAAGGGAGUCUGAUAGCCAUGACACAGACAAGCAGACGUCAUUGUAUCUGGACGAGACAAUGACAAUGAAUUCUGGACUAUAAACCACUUGUGUGUGGAAAGUAUGAACAGUGAAACUGUCGGAUAGGAGAAUGAAGCUCCCUUAUUCCUGUCAAGACCCUUGAUAAAAUGAACUUAGGUUGCAGUAGAUCUUGCCAUUUACCAUCACAACGAAAGUCCUGAAAGCUGCUUCAGGUUCACUUUCUGUACUACAACCAGGCAGCAGCAGCAGACAUGAAAUCUCCCAAGUGAGCAAGCUGCCUAUGUUCUGUAUUCAUUCAGCUGGUGUAUGCAAGCAAGAAACUUGUUUGUGUGACACUUCAGAAGUUGAGACAUACAAUAUAGGACAAGUUUUUAUGGAUAACAACUUCUUUAUUUUAUGAGUGUGACAUUGCACUCACGAAAUGAAGAAGUUGUUAUCCAUAAACACUUGUCCUAUAUCAAGCAAGAAACAUCUUCCCAAGACUUGAAUGCCUAAAUAUCUCUGUAUGUCUAUAUGUUUUCAAAGAGGUUCUUUGCUGGUGAAUAUUUCUGGGAGUAAUUAAAAUGGAGAGAACAGGACUUUCACAGAGUCAUGUUCAGGAGAUAUGUGUCCUUGCUUGAAAGAUUUCUGUCACUAUUCCUUGAUCACUGCUGAUUUUCUUUCACUACAGUCAAAGAGAAAUAAUCUUUGAACCCAGAAUGUGUUCCUUCAUUGACAUGCACAGUAUACAAUCUGUCUGAUGACAUUAAUUCAAACUGAUAAGUAAUAUGUUAGAUUGAAAACAAAUUCACACUGUUUUAAAUGUUAUUUACUAAGAAAAUAGUUUUUUUCCAUAAAAGGACAGGCUAUACAGUUGUUGCUUUGAUAUAUAUAUGCAUCUCAUUUGUAGUUGUGAUAAUACUGUAACCCCUAAUAAUGAUCUUGGACCCUACCUCCUAAUUGUAAGAAGGGACCAAAUAGAAAAUAUAGGGGUAGGAGUUGUACUGUAUUAUGGUAAUGGGAUUUGGUUGCAUUCACUCUUUGCCAGACAUCGAUUUCCUUCUCAGCACCUAGAAGGAAUGUCUUGUAGAUAUGUGUUUGGAAUGCAUUUAUCUUCCUUCUCAGUUCAAUACUUACAUCAUCGAUGUCAUGUUAUGUAUAUCAUUUGGCUGUGAAACAGUGUAAAGGUCAUCAUUCAGCAGUCCUGAAAGGCUAACAGCAGCGUUUAAAAUUCCCGCCUGCUCGACCGUCCGGAACGGUUUAUGUUCAUCUUGAAC